UCCGGCGUGGCGCAAUGGUAGCGCGGUUCCCUGUUAAGGAAAAGGUUACAGGUUCGAAUCCUGUCGCCGGAGCCA
rnacentral:tRNA from 1 species